UCGAGCGGAACGAUGAUAGCUUGCUAUCAGGCGUCGAGCGGCGGACGGGUGAGUAACGCGUAGGAACCUACCUGGUAGUUUGGGAUAGCCCAGAGAAAUUUGGAUUAAUACCGGAUACGCCCCACGGGGGAAAGCGGAGGAUCUUCGGACUUCGCGCUAUCAGAUGGGCCUGCGUGAGAUUAGCUAGUUGGUGGGGUAAUGGCCUACCAAGGCGACGAUCUCUAGCUGGUUUGAGAGGAUGAUCAGCCACACUGGGACUGAGACACGGCCCAGACUCCUACGGGAGGCAGCAGUGGGGAAUAUUGCACAAUGGGCGCAAGCCUGAUGCAGCCAUGCCGCGUGUGUGAAGAAGGCUCUAGGGUUGUAAAGCACUUUCAGCAGUGAGGAAAGGUUGUAAGUUAAUACCUUACAGCUGUGACGUUAACUGCAGAAGAAGCACCGGCUAACUCCGUGCCAGCAGCCGCGGUAAUACGGAGGGUGCGAGCGUUAAUCGGAAUUACUGGGCGUAAAGCGCACGUAGGUGGCUUGUUAAGCUGGAUGUGAAAGCCCCGGGCUCAACCUGGGAACUGCAUCCAGAACUGGCAAGCUAGAGUACGGUAGAGGUGAGUGGAAUUUCCUGUGUAGCGGUGAAAUGCGUAGAGAUGGGAAGGAACACCAGUGGCGAAGGCGACUCACUGGACUGAUACUGACACUGAGGUGCGAAAGCGUGGGUAGCAAACAGGAUUAGAUACCCUGGUAGUCCACGCCGUA
rnacentral:rRNA from 1 species